UGCGGCGUAGCUCAGUUGGUAGAGCAGCUGACUGUUAAUCAGUUUGUCGCUGGUUUGAGCCCAGCCACAGCAGCCA
rnacentral:tRNA from 1 species